UACGUAGGGGGCAAGCGUUGUCCGGAUUUAUUGGGCGUAAAGAGCGUGUAGGCGGCCUGAAAGGUCAGCUGUGAAAACUCGAGGCUCAACCUCGAGACGUCGGUUGAAACCAUCUGGCUAGAGUCCGGAAGAGGAGAGUGGAAUUCCCGGUGUAGCGGUGAAAUGCGCAGAUAUCGGGAAGAACACCUGUGGCGAAAGCGGCGCACUGGACCAUAACUGACGCUGAUGCGCGAAAGCUAGGGGAGCAAACAGG
rnacentral:rRNA from 1 species